rnacentral:rRNA from 1 species
GACGAACGCUGGCGGCGUGCCUAAUACAUGCAAGUAGAACGCAGUUGCGAACGGGUGAGUAACGCGUAGGUAACUGCCUGGUAGCGGGGGAUAACUAUUGGAAACGAUAGCUAAUACCGCAUACUACCAGAUGGACCUGCGUUGUAUUAGCUAGUUGGUGAAGUAACGGUUCACCAAGGCAACGAUACAUAGCAGACCGGAGAGGGUGAUCGGCCAAACUGGGACUGGGGAACGGCCCAGACUCCCACGGGAGGCAGCAGGAGGGAAUCUUUGGGAAUGGGGGGAACCCGGGCCCAGCAACGCAGCGUGAGUGAAGAAGGUUUUCGGAUCGGAAAGCCUUGUGGUUAAGGGAGCGGUACGUAACCAGAAAGGGACGGCUAACUACGUGCCAGCAGCCGCGGUAAUUC